AUCCAAGGGGAGUCCCUCUCCAAGGGAAUAUGCAGUGCCCCUCUCAGGAAAGUAGCAACCUGGAAUAGAAUCUGGCAUGCCUGAAGUCUUUGAGGAGUAGAGGAUGCUUAUUUCCUCUGCCUUCCUUGGCUGCCUACAUGG
ensembl:snoRNA